GUAGCCGAAGUCGUCGUUUCGGACACGACCUGUCAAUCCGCCAACAGAGGACGCGAUUCCUAUUUUAAUACCUAGUCAGAUACCCUAAACCAAAUUCAACGCUGAAUUUUCGGAUGAAGUCCAGCUUGAUAAAUCACGUGCCGGCCCAUCCAGAAUUAGAAACGCAUGCUGGAUUAGAAUUUCUCAAAAACAUGGACGGAGAGGAGUCAUUUGCUUCUUCAAGAGAAUUUUGCCCGCAAUUUGGCUCCAUUUUACCGUUUCCUGAAAAAGGAACGGUAGUUAUGAAAUGCAAGACGUGUCCUCACAAAGUAAAUGCAAAAACUGCAUUACAUGGUGUGGUCUAUCAUUCAUACCUGUGUCUCAACUCUCGCAAGAAUGUUGAAGGUCGUUACAAGGUUACAGCCAGAAAGACCUAGGACCACUGAUUGACAGGGCAUGUGCCAAGUGCGAUCACGAUGGACUUC